GCUCGGUGCCAGAGCAGAUCCCAUCUGGGCGCCAGAGCAGAGCCCAUCUGGGCCAGAGCAGAGAGAGCUCGAUGUCAGAGCAGAUCCCAUCUGGGCGCCAGAGCAGAGAGAGCUCGGUGCUAGCUCUGCUUUGCUCUGGGCGCCAGAGCAGAGCCCAUCUCGGCGCCAGAACAGAGCCCAUCUGGGCGCCAGAGCAGAGAGAGCUUGGUAGACGGACCAGCAUCAUCUCGGCAGCCAGAGCUGUGUGACUUAUAUGACCAAUUUUUGAAAAUGAGGCCUGUUGCAAUAUCAGCAAACUUAUAGGUAUGAUCAUCUCUUGAUAAUAUCUUAAGUUUGUUUAUAAUCAUUAGAAUUUAUAUCUUACGGAUUCUGUCCCAAUCUCAAAAUAAGCAUAAAAAACUAUUUAGCUCAUCAUUUUUGGUUGAAGGCAUGACUAUAACAUCUUAUAAGCAUAAAACUAUUAGUAAGCUUAAAAACUAUUUAGCUCAUCAUUUUGGUUGUAAGGCAUGCUAUAACAUCUUAUAAAACUUUGAUAUAUAAAUCAUACCUCUAUAUCAUGGAAUAUGCAUUCAAAACUAUUUAGCUCUUCAUUUUUGGUUGAAGGCAUGCCAUAACAUCUUAUCAAUCUCGCUUUAACUGCAGGUGACAUUGCCAAAGGGCGAAGCUCGUUGAAGAGUGACCACAUUCCGACCAUCAGUGUUUUUGAACACAAUGAAUCUACAACCAUUUUUAGUUAUUAGAUAUUGAAACUGUAGCAGCUAUAAUGUAAUAUAUAAACAUUACAUCUCUUAAAAUACUACACUAACAAUGACAUUAUAUGAAUCUGCAACAACUUUUAACUAUUAGAUU
rnacentral:lncRNA from 1 species